UGGGUCUCGCUCGUUACCUGACUUAACAGGAUGCUUCACAGUACGAACUGACGACGGCCAUGCACCACCUCUCAGCGAAUCAGGCAAAGUCUUCAGCCUGACCUACAUAUUGCUGUCGGUCCCCGGUAAGAUUGUCCGGCGUUGAAUCCAAUUAAACCGCAAGCUCCACCCGUUGUGGUGCUCCCCCGCCAAUUCCUUUAAGUUUCAGCCUUGCGGCCGUACUUCCCAGGUGGCUCGCUUCACGGCUUCCCUACGGCACCAGACAACGGUCGCACCAUGGCCUGACACCUAGCGAGCAUCGUUUACGGCUAGGACUACCCGGGUAUCUAAUCCGGUUCGUGCCCCCAGCUUUCGUCCCUCACCGUCAGAACCCGUUCUGGUAAGACACCUUCGCCACAGGUGGUCCUUCACAGGGAUUACAAGAUUUCACCCCUACCCCUGAAGUACCUCUCACCUCUCCCGGCCUCCAAGCCAGACAGUAUCCCCCGAAAGCCUAACAGUUAAGCUACCAGAUUUCCCAAGAGGACUGAUCCAAACCGGCUACAGACCCUUUAGACCCAAUAAUAACGAUCACCACUCGAGCCGCCGGUGUUACCGCGGCGGCUGGCACCGGUCUUGCCCGGCCCUUGCUAUGAAAUGCUUUUUAGGCAUCUCGACAGCCAGAUUUGUAACCUGGCACUCGAGGGUUCCCUUAUCGCUGUUGCCAGCAUUGUAAAAGUUUUCGCG
rnacentral:rRNA from 1 species